rnacentral:rRNA from 1 species
UACGGGAGGCAGCAGUGAGGAAUAUUGGUCAAUGGGCGGGAGCCUGAACCAGCCAAGUAGCGUGCAGGAUGACGGCCCUAUGGGUUGUAAACUGCUUUUAUGCGGGGAUAAAGUGCGCCACGUGUGGCGUUUUGCAGGUACCGCAUGAAUAAGGACCGGCUAAUUCCGUGCCAGCAGCCGCGGUAAU